rnacentral:rRNA from 1 species
GGACCCGCACAAGCGGUGGAACAUGUGGUUUAAUUCGAAGCAACGCGAAAAACCUUACCAAGACUUGACAUCUAACGAAUCUUUGUGAAAGCAGAGAGUGCUCUUCGGAGAACGUUAAGACAGGUGGUGCACGGUUGUCGUCAGCUCGUGUCGUGAGAUGUUGGGUUAAGUCCCACAACGAGCGCAACCCUCGUGGUUAGUUGCAUAUAUCGGUACACUGAUAUAUUGCUCUCUAGCCAGACUGCCGGUGAUAAACCGGAGGAAGGUGGGGACGACGUCAAAUCAUCAUGCCCCUUAUGUCUUGGGCUACACACGUGUUACAAUGGCUGGUACAACGAGCUGCCAACUCGCGAGAGUGAGCAAAUCUCUAAAAACCAGUCUCAGUUCGGAUUGCACUCUGCAACUCGAGUGCAUGAAGUCGGAAUCGCUAGUAAACGCAGAUCAGCACGCUGCGUUGAAUACGUUCCCGGGUCUU